CACAGAGUCAGGAUGUGACAUCACUGGAGGAGCUAUGUCUACAGAACUCUCCAAACUGUUUGCUGACUAGAGCUGAAAGGAUUCAGGAGCCAUCACAUUAUCUGCCUACUAGAUAGUCUGCCGUCCUCCAGUCUGUGACUUGCAUCGUAGUGUGGACUGGACAUCAUGGCAUUGUGCCUCACCCAGGUCUUUAACAAAGACAGAACGUUCCGUCCCAGGAAGAGGUUUGAACCCGGAACCCAACGAUUUGAGCUCUAUAAAAAGGCUCAGGCCUCCCUGAAAUCAGGUCUGGAUCUUAGGAGUGUGGUGCAGCUUCCCGAGGCGGAGAACAUUAAUGACUGGAUAGCUGUGCAUGUUGUUGACUUCUUCAACAGGAUCAAUCUGAUUUAUGGAACAAUGUCGGAGUUCUGCACAGAGAGGAGUUGUCCCAUUAUGUCUGGUGGCCUCAGGUAUGAAUACAGGUGGCAGGAUGACCUCAAGUACAAGAAGCCCACAAAGGUGUCCGCUCCGCUCUAUAUGAACUUGCUAAUGGACUGGAUAGAGACACUGAUUAACAACGAAGACAUAUUCCCAACUCGAACAGGGAUUCCUUUCCCAAAGAACUUCCAGCAAGUCUGCACCAAGAUCCUGACACGGUUAUUCCGGGUAUUUGUCCACGUCUACAUCCAUCAUUUUGAUGGUAUCAUCAGUGUGGGGGCGGAAGCUCAUGUCAACACCUGCUACAAACACUUCUACUACUUCAUUGCAGAGUUCAGUCUGGUGGAUCAUCGAGAGCUGGAACCAUUGGUAAGAGAGAAAUGACGGAGAGAAUCUGCCACUGACAUUGGGUACACCGGAAAACCUGCUGGAUCCAGAUUUUACAACAUGGAAGUAGCUGACUGCAAAUGGGCCAGGAAUACGAGUUUCCCUAUACCAAUGAAAAGAAGGUGGUCUGACCGCCAAGCUCCAGCUUAGAAGGGGACUAGUGAUGUUAACUGGUGUCCUACAUUAUACAGGCCAAUUUGGUGAAGGUCUAGCUCCAAAAAACAUUAAUCUUCAGAACGUGGCAUUGUGGUAAGGGCGAGUGCCAUGGUGUAGAGUGAAGGCAGCCUGUAGCUUCCCUGGAUCUUGUGCGGCUGCUGUCAUUUCACUUAGAAAGCAUUUGGUUUUCUGGAUCUUCACACAGACGCGCUCCUCUUCCUGGCGCAUGUAAAGAAUAUUUCUCACUAGUGAAGAUAUGAGCCAUUCCAGAUCCAUUUAGAUAAUCAGUGAUGAUUAUGAACUGCUCUUCUAGGAACUCAUUGCUGUAGUACAUGGGGAGCGGAUGUCCAGCACCGAGGGGCCAUCAGAUGCGCACGCGCUGGAAUAACGGUGGGGGAUUGGAGGUGUUCUGCCGGGUCUAAAGGGUUCUUGCCAUGGUGUGGAAUACACUUUUUAUAUCACUGGUACCUAUGGCCAGUCAUCCAUUUACUUCUGGUUACAUCAGGGGGUGGGCGGCAUAAUCCUGUUCUGUGUUCUCAUUUAUUGUGAUGGAAAAAUCACUUUAAAACUCUGUAUAAAAAAACUAAACUGUUCAGCAUCAGUAGAAUUAAUCCAAUGGAUAUUAUGUAUUAUGGCCCCCCCCCCCUGCAUACAAUAUUACACGGCACCCCAUCUGCAUACAAUAUUACACCGCA